rnacentral:rRNA from 1 species
AACGAACGCUGGCGGCAUGCCUAACACAUGCAAGUCGAACGAGACCUUCGGGUCGAGUGGCGCACGGGUGCGUAACGCGUGGGAACCUGCCCUUAGGUUCGGAAUAACUCCCCGAAAGGGGUGCUAAUACCGGAUAAUGUCUUCGGACCAAAGAUUUAUCGCCUUUGGAUGGGCCCGCGUUGGAUUAGCUAGUUGGUAGGGUAAAAGCCUACCAAGGCGACGAUCCAUAGCUGGUCUGAGAGGAUGAUCAGCCACACUGGGACUGAGACACGGCCCAGACUCCUACGGGAGGCAGCAGUGGGGAAUAUUGGACAAUGGGCGAAAGCCUGAUCCAGCCAUGCCGCGUGAGUGAUGAAGGCCUUAGGGUUGUAAAGCUCUUUUACCCGGGAUGAUAAUGACAGUACCGGGAGAAUAAGCUCCGGCUAACUCCGUG